rnacentral:rRNA from 1 species
AGGGUUUGAUCCUGGCUCAGAUUGAACGCUGGCGGCAGGCUUAACACAUGCAAGUCGAGCGGUAACAGGGGUAGCUUGCUACCCGCUGACGAGCGGCGGACGGGUGAGUAAUGCAUAGGAAACUGCCCAGUAGUGGGGGAUAGCCCGGGGAAACCCGGAUUAAUACCGCAUACGCCCUACGGGGGAAAGCAGGGGAUCUUCGGACCUUGCGCUAUUGGAUGUGCCUAUGUCGGAUUAGCUAGUUGGUGGGGUAAAGGCUCACCAAGGCGACGAUCCGUAGCUGGUCUGAGAGGAUGAUCAGCCACAUCGGGACUGAGACACGGCCCGAACUCCUACGGGAGGCAGCAGUGGGGAAUAUUGGACAAUGGGGGCAACCCUGAUCCAGCCAUGCCGCGUGUGUGAAGAAGGCUUUCGGGUUGUAAAGCACUUUCAGCGAGGAGGAAGGUCUGUAGUUUAAUACGCUGCAGAAUUGACGUUACUCGCAGAAGAAGCACCGGCUAACUCCGUGCCAGCAGCCGCGGUAAUACGGAGGGUGCAAGCGUUAAUCGGAAUUACUGGGCGUAAAGCGCGCGUAGGUGGUUUGAUAAGCGAGAUGUGAAAGCCCCGGGCUUAACCUGGGAACGGCAUUUCGAACUGUCAGGCUAGAGUGUG